rnacentral:rRNA from 1 species
CGGCAACAGCUCAAAUUUGAAAUCUGGCUUUCGGGCCCGAGUUGUAAUUUGUAGAGGAUGCUUUUGAUGCGGUGCCUUCCGAGUUCCCUGGAACGGGACGCCAUAGAGGGUGAGAAUCCCGUC